rnacentral:tRNA from 1 species
AAUAAGGUGCCUGAUUAAAAGGGCUAUCUUGAUAGGAUAGAUUAUGUAGUAAAAUACUCUUAUUA